UCCGUAGGUGAACCUGCGGAAGGAUCAUUAACACUUCUCAGGCUCGGCCUUCUUCCCUUCACGGGGCCGUCGGCUGGGACUGGAUGGAUCCACAUCCAUUUACCCCUGCGAACCGUUGAAGUCUUUACUUUAAUGAAUUAUAAACGACUGUCUUGAACAGCCUGAAAAACAAACUUUUUCUGUGCUGAGGACUCAAUCGAGCGACCCUCGGGGAGCUCCCUUUUUUUCUCUCUCAGGAAAAACAACAACCAAAAACAACUUUCAGCAACGGAUAUCUUGGUCCUCGCAACGAUGAAGAGCGCAGCGAAAUGCGAAACGUAAUGUGAAUUGCAGGAUUCAGUGAAUCAUCAAAUUCUUGAACGCAAAUUGCACUCCAUCGCCUCCUGGUGGUGGAGUACGCCUGUUUCAGUGUCUGUAAAACCCCAUCACCCCCCCCCCCUAAAAAGGGGAAGGCGUGGUUUAUGGCGGUUGGGACUACUGGCUCACCCACUGAAAUUGAGAAGGAGCGCGGGAAGCGGACGUUCGAGCGGUCUUCACGGGCGGUCUCGAAGCGGUCGCGAUCCGGCAUGACGAAGUAGCACUUUUCCGAGUGAUAUCUGAGUCCGGCCUGGCAUCGUGGACGUGCGCCGUUCUUCCUAACCAAAGCCUCCCCUAACACAGGAAAAAAUUCUCUUUACCUUGGACCUGAAAUCAGACGAGACUACCCGCUGAAUUUAAGCAUAUUAAUAAGCGGAGGAAAAGAAACUAACAAGGAUUCCCUGAGCAGCGGCGAGCGAAAAGGGAAGAGCUCAAAUUUAAAAUCUCCGACCCUUCGGCGUCGGCGAAUUGUAGUUUAGAGAGGCGUUUUCUGGUGUUGGGCCGGGCCUAAGUCCCUUGGAACAGGGCAUCAUAGAGGGUGAGAAUCCCGUAUGCGGCUCGGACUCCGACCCUUCAUGUGGCGUCCUCAAAGAGUCGGGUUGUUUGGGAAUGCAGCCCUAAAUGGGUGGUAAACUUCAUCUAAAGCUAAAUACCGGCGAGAGACCGAUAGCGAAAAAGUACCGUGAGGGAAAGAUGCAAAGAACUUUGAAAAGAGAGUUAAAAAGUGCUUGAAAUUGCUGAAAGGGAAACGCUUGAAGU
rnacentral:rRNA from 1 species